CUUCUUGUUCGUGGCGCGAAUGCACUUUUUAAGGCUAGGGGCUGUUGUGGUGCUGGUGAAAUCCUCACAGAAGCGUGCUCCGAGACCCCGAAAUGGUUGCAAGCUGCUGCUCGGGCUGUUUCAUCCCUUGCACCGGGACCCGUGACCCUUGGGAGGGCUGGAGUCGUGGAUCACGAACUGGAAGGGGCUGCGUAGGGGUGGCCGCCACCUUGGGAUGGGCCAGGGCGCGCCGCCACUUUCCCUGGGGUUCUCAGGGCGAGCGCUAUCAGCCCCCUAUCCCCCAGGCUUUCCAUAGUAUGACUUGGAAGAGGGUGGGUGGCUGUCGGGGGAAGGUCACCAUCCUUUGAUCCAGCACUGGGUCAGGCACUUAUGCCAUUUCCCUUAAUGGCAGUAGUGAAAGAAGUUGGGAUUCCGAUGCAAGUCUGGUUUCGGAUUCUGAUCUUUUCCCCUUUCACUGUGGAUCUCAUAAGAUUUGAGACCAGGAAUGCGAUCUCCUUUUUACCUCUUAGGCAAUACUCCCAAGGCCUUAUCAGCCUGACUUUACUAUCUGCCUUCACUGGUUCACCAAAUGUCGAGCACCUGUGACGUCACCGCUGGGGCUACAGGGGUGAACAACUGGCUAGGGUUACUGUCGAAAUGGAGCUUCCAUUCCAGCAAGGGAGCCAGGAAAGAGCAUUCUCAGUGCUGAGCCAGGUUAGAAAGAAAAAACAUGAGGGACAGAGAGUGAGUGGGGAAUGAAGGCCACUUUAGUGGAUGGGCAGGGGACAUUUAAGCUGUCAUUUGAUAGUAGGGAGACAGCGUGAGAGUUACAGGCAGAGAAGGACCUUGGAGCCACCUGAGUCAGUUUCACUCACCUGGGCCAGUCUUUAAUGGGAGGCGACUGUGGAGGUAUUUCAUGCACUGUGAGAGCGGAGGGCCCCAUUCAGCCACAGCCAGGGAGCUCCCGGCCAGGCUUCUGGGGACUUUGGAGACCCCUCCCCCACCUCUCUUUAGUGAAAUGGAAAUUGGGCUCAGGCGGCCCAACUUCUCAUCUGACCUCUCUCUAAGCACUACUACGAGGGCUGUUUUCACCCAGAAGUCUCUAAUCCUUUGGGUUUGAGUUACAGAAGAGCCUGGUUAAAAUGCAGUUAUGUUGCCAGAAAGGGACACCACAUAGACUCGCUGACUCCUGUUCACUCAGCUGCACAUGAGUCCUUGCCCUUUAAGAUGAACACAGGGUCUUCUGAUGUUCUACUUCAUUCCAGUGCCUCCAAGCAAAGCACAGGGGAGUUUGUGAUUUUUAUUUUACCUAUGGGGAAGACCUAGGCCUGGGUGGUAAAGUGGCACAGCUAGUCAGUCACGCUGGAGUUUGCUCUCUGAGCUCUUUGUGUUCAGAUGAAAUGUGGAAGUACAGCUCCAGGAAUCUGGGAAACUUUAAAACCUCUCUUUCUGUUGUCAUAAAGCCUCCACUGAUACCCAAUGAUUUCGAGCUGUUGACAUACUGAGGGUUCAGCAUGAUUUAGUCAAGACUCUUUUCUCUGGCAAUCCCAGCACAGCCUAAGAGCAUGAGGUGUUUAGGUUUAGGUUGUGGAAGGCACGCUCUGAAAGAGUGUCCAAAAGAAGUGCCAAGUCCAAGACCAAGAUCUGCCAGCAUCUUGGUGGCUCUGUGAGUUUCUCUAUGUGAGGUUGCAGGGCAGGAGAAGAGCGACACCUUGUCCAAAUCCUUGCUGCCCCAGAGUCCAGACGUCACUCCCCGCCCCUCCCCAGGUCACGCUGACAGCAGCUGUGGUACAGGGCAAAACUGCAGUGUCUUUGAGCCGAGAAGAGCCAUAUUUAUGGCCCAGCAAUAAGCCUCAGUUUUCUCAUCUCUAAAAUGGAAAUAAUAAUUCCCUAUUUGCUUUAUAGGGUCAUGUAGCCCAAUGAGAAAUUCCAGUGUGAAGUGCUGUGUGGCAGAAGGUAGGACUGUCGGCUUGUUAGACACCCAUUCUAGCCCCAGGCGGUUAAACACUUCCCUCACCUGGGGAGCCAGGCUUGUGUGCAUCUAGAGCAGACCUACCAAAUGCGAGCACCAAGACGAGCCAUCACAUUGUAUUAAUAUUUUCACACCACUUAACUCUCAUUAAAAUGUACUUUGCUGAA